GGUGGGAUGGCCGAGUGGUCAAAGGCUGCAGACUGUAAAUCUGCCGGCGUUCGCCUACGUAGGUUCGAACCCUACUCCCACCACCA
rnacentral:tRNA from 1 species